UUGAAAUGCUGAAAUUUGAUUUUGUGUGUGCAAAUUUUGAAUUUGUUUGACAUAUAUUCGUGUGAUUAUAAGAUCAUAUUGUUUGAAUAAAACAGAUUAGUUUUAAGAGAAGUAGUACAGUGGUAUACUACAGUAGUUAUAGGCUAGUUCUGAUUUCAAUUUUGUUGGAAGUUGUGUAGAAGAAUGACGAGACGUCAUUUCUUAGGGCAGGGGUGUAUGUAGCCCUGUGGAUAUUUCAGCAUUUAGUAAAAAGUGUUGUCUGCUCCAGUUCUCAUAUUUUGUGUUGACUGCUACCUUUCCCCCUGAUAUUUGAGGUUUUUGUGAGAAUAGCAAUCUGCCAGGAUUGCAGCUUUUGGCGCACUUUUAGAGCUUUAUUAUUUUAACUAGUUCCUGGAAGUAUUUCCAUGUUUGUAGUAACCACAGUGACCAGAUUAACAGACACCAUGGGUGAGAGAUGAGAGACAUGUAUACAGUGAGAACACUCAGUUCCAUAAACUUUGUGUUGCUUCGUGCUUCGUGCUUCGUGCUUCAUGUUGAUUCAUGAUUUAUCUGUAUAGAACGAAGAGAGUAAACUAUGGAAAACAGCUUUUGUUAGUUAUACACACUAGGACAUAAAACGAACCUCGACCGGCUUGGUCUUAUACUCACUAUAACUAUAUGACCUUAAUAAAGGUCAGGGUAAAGGCCAGACCAUUAUACAUGUAUUAUCCUGUAUAAUACAUAUGUUUUGUCAUUUUUCAAUGAUUUCAAAUGGAUU